rnacentral:rRNA from 1 species
GACGAACGCUGGCGGCGUGCUUAACACAUGCAAGUCGAACGGAAAGGCCCUGCUUGCAGGGUACUCGAGUGGCGAACGGGUGAGUAACACGUGGGUUAUCUGCCCUGCACUUCGGGAUAAGCCUGGGAAACUGGGUCUAAUACCGGAUAGGAGCCAUUUUUAGUGUGAUGGUUGGAAAGUUUUUUCGGCGUAGGAUGAGCUCGCGGCCUAUCAGCUUGUUGGUGGGGUAAUGGCCUACCAAGGCGGCGACGGGUAGCCGGCCUGAGAGGGUGGACAGCCACAUUGGGACUGAGAUACGGCCCAGACUCCUACGGGAGGCAGCAGUGGGGAAUAUUGCACAAUGGGCGCAAGCCUGAUGCAGCGACGCCGCGUGGGGGAUGACGGCCUUCGGGUUGUAAACUCCUUUCGCUAGGGACGAAGCUUUUUGUGACGGUACCUAGAUAAGAAGCACCGGCUAACUACGUG